AUAAGUAACGUGCCCUAAAGACCGGGACAAACGCAGAAAUGUUAUGAAUACCGGAUAUGGCCGAAUCUUGGCAUCUUGAUUCGAUUAAAUGGUUUUUCGCUUUAGGAGCGGCUUAUGACACAUCAGGUAGUUGGUGGGGUAAUGGCCUACCAAGCCGACGACGUGUAGGGGGUCUGGGAGGAUGAUCCCCCCGAGUGGGACUGAGACACGGCC
rnacentral:rRNA from 1 species